rnacentral:lncRNA from 1 species
GACAGCGCUGGGGAGAAUGAACGCCUGAGUACUCAUGUCUUUAUGCACUGUAGUAUUAUUUCCUUACAACAGACUCCUGAACCUGGAACGGCAGUGUCAAAGGGUUCACAAAAUGUUAGACUUCUGAAGCAAAUCAGAUGGCACCUUUUUUGAAUAAUGAAGAAUCUUUACCCCUGGCAUGAGGAGCUGAGGACAACUCCCACUCCACGAUGUGAAGCCACAGAGUUUCGAGGCCCCAGGACCUCCAGCGUCAAUGUUGUGGGAUGAUGGGUGACAGAGCCAAAGCAUCGCCAUCUUGGACAAGCACGGUCAUUCUGAAGUUCCCCUUGAUCAAAAACUGCCUAAACCCAAAGGAUAUCAGCCUGAUGGCUAAGAUGCCUCCUGAUUGACCUAGUACACUGGGUUAAAAGGGAAUUAAAAACAUU